rnacentral:rRNA from 1 species
UACGAAGGGUGCAAGCGUUAAUCGGAAUUACUGGGCGUAAAGCGCGCGUAGGCGGUCCGUUAUGUCGGAUGUGAAAGCCCUUGGCUCAACUGAGGAAGUGCAUCCGAAACUGGCGAGCUAGAGUAUGUAAGAGGGUCGCGGAAUUCCCGGUGUAGAGGUGAAAUUCGUAGAUAUCGGGAGGAACACCGGUGGCGAAGGCGGCGACCUGGGACAAUACUGACGCUGAGGUGCGAAAGCGUGGGGAGCAAACAGG